rnacentral:rRNA from 1 species
GACGAACGCUGGCGGCGUGGAUUAGGCAUGCAAGUCGGACGGUAGGGCUUUAUCGUAAGAUAGAGUUUGAGAGUGGCGAACGGGUGAGUAACACGUAGGAAUCUACCCUUAAGACGGGGACAACCCAGGGAAACUUGGGCUAAUACCGGAUGAGAGUGCGAGAGAUUGCAUUUAAAAGGAUGGCGAAAGUUGUCGCUUAGGGAUGAGCCUGCGGUCUAUUAGUUAGUUGGUGAGGUAAGAGCUCACCAAGGCGAUGAUAGAUAGGCGGCCUUAACGGGUGGUCGCCCACACUGGGGAUUGGAGAUACGGCCCAGACUCCUACGGGAGGCAGCAGUCGAGAAUAGUCUACAAUGGCCGGAAGGCUGAUAGUGCGACGCCGCGUGAACGAGGGAGCCCUUCGGGUGUAAAGUUCUUUUCUAUACGAGCAGUGCUAUAUAUAUGGUAUAGUAUAUAUAGAAGGGAUAGUAGUAUAGGAAUAAGCAACGGGCUAACUCCGUGCCAGCAGCCGUAC